rnacentral:rRNA from 1 species
GACGUAGGGGGCGAGCGUUGUCCGGAUUUAUUGGGCGUAAAGAGCUCGUAGGCGGCUUGUCGCGUCGUCCGUGAAAACUUGGGGCUCAACCCCAAGCUUGCGGUCGAUACGGGCAGGCUAGAGUUCGGUAGGGGAGACUGGAAUUCCUGGUGUAGCGGUGAAAUGCGCAGAUAUCAGGAGGAACACCGGUGGCGAAGGCGGGUCUCUGGGCCGAUACUGACGCUGAGGAGCGAAAGCGUGGGGAGCGAACAGG